rnacentral:rRNA from 1 species
AUUGAACGCUGGCGGCAGGCUUAACACAUGCAAGUCGAGCGAGCGGCGGACGGGUGAGUAAUGUCUGGGAAACUGCCUGAUGGAGGGGGAUAACUACUGGAAACGGUAGCUAAUACCGCAUACCAUCGGAUGUACCCAUAUGGGAUUAGCUAGUAGGUGGGGUAAUGGCUCACCUAGGCGACGAUCCCUAGCUGGUCUGAGAGGAAGACCAGCCACACUGGGACUGAUACACGGUCCAUACUCCUACGGUAGGCAGCAGUGGGGAAUAUUGCACAAUGGGCGCAAGCCUGAUGCAGCCAUGCCGCGUGUAUGAAGAAGGCCUUCGGGUUGUAAAGUACUUUCAGCGAGGAGGCGUUACUCGCAGAAGAAGCACCGGCUAACUCCGUGCCAGCAGCCGCGGUAAUAC